CAGGGUUUUCCCACAUUCCCCUGGGGUGAUGGUAAUGAGCACUUCCACCAUCCCAUGACAGUCAAGAACAAAGAGAUUAGCUAGUAUGAUGAUGCAAAAAUUCUGCAGUUCACAGCUGACUGUACCUGUAUGUUCCUGUUCCUUUUUUCUAUAUGAGCUUCAAUCAUCAUAUUCUUAGAGAGCCUCCAAGAAUCCUGUCACAUGUACUGCCUCCAUUGUGCUAUGGCACAGCUCCAAACCUCACAUGAAUGAUAUUACUUUGCUUUUUCAUAAUAUCUGUUUUAAAUUGAGUGGAGGAGCUGGUGUCAGUGGGACCUGGUAAUACUAGGAGCUACAACCAGAAAGAGCAGCUGGUAACACCAAAGAAGUUUCUUGAUUUCUAUCCAAACUGAGCCAAAGAACCCUCAACUAAUUGAUACCAGCAUGACAGCUAAAGAUCCCCAAGUCAAUGUGGGCCAUCAAAGGAGCCCAUGCCCAAGACAGCAUCUUCUCAUCCAUUCCUGGCUGAGAGCACCAGGAAUAAUCUCAUCCUACUUUCCGGAGAAAUAUGGUUAAUUGAGCAGAAGAUGAAAAUUUGCACAUGAUUCAAUUUUCUAACAAGUCAUCAAGAUUAAAGAGGAAACUAAACCAUGGGAUGAAACAGCUUGAGAUGGUGCUUCCUUAAGAGAAACUGCUUGCUUGCUCUGAAACCUGUGAAAGAAUAUGUAUAUAUAUAUAUAUAUAUAUAUAUAUAUAUAUAUAUACAAAAAAAUAACCUAACUGUAUUACAAAUGUCC
rnacentral:lncRNA from 1 species